rnacentral:lncRNA from 1 species
UCAAUAUCUACUGCACCUAUAAAGUUUGACAGCAUCAUACUGUCACCCGCGAUAUCUUCCUUCGACCAUCUUGAGAGAACAUGUCGGAAGUUUGGCAAGGUUGUAACGUCAAAAAUUGUUCAAUAUUGCAAACCGAUAAACCGUAAGAAAGGAAAUUAAGUCCAGAAUAUUUUUAGUUUUUGCUAAAAUCUUCAGUUGUUCUCAAGUUGUGAGCUUGGAGGCGUUACUUUUCAGCCGAACCUCGUAUAUCGAAUAAUACUCAGUGGAUUCACCUUAAACGCAAUGAGAGGUUCCAUUCAAACGACGGGUAUUCCCUGAGUCUUGGAUAAAUUUAAAUGGUUGAUUUGUCUCUUAUAAGAAUUUUAAAAUAGGAUAGGUAGCACAAUGAAAUUUUUCGGACGUUGAAGAAAACUGAAGGACUCUUGGUCACACAAAUGGGCACCACCAUGCUCACAUGGAUUUUUACGCUCACUCAAAGUAGGUUUUUACUAAACAUAAGAUAUAAAUUAUGAGGCAAAAACAGCUUCUCAAAUUUACAAGAAAAAACAAACUAAUGAGAAACCUACAACCUUUCCGUCGUGGGCGCCUCCCACCUAGCAAUCGUGCUUUCUAGUUUUCCAUGGUCAUCCUCUUCCACCGGUGUCCUUUUCUGGCGAAAUUAUCUACUUCACAUUACGGCUCAUGGGAGAUUUGGAGAAUUUUCCGGAAAAAUUGCAAUGCUGUUAUUUUCACCUGUAUCUCUAACGACAGGAAAACAAGAGAAUUUCAAUUAAGGUCACCAUUAUUUUCAAAUUAUGAGAUCCCGUUUUUAAUCCUCGCUGCAAUUUGUUUUCAUCCUUUCCUCUUCUAUGCAGUUUUCGUUGCAACAUAUAAAUAGUCUAAUAUAAGUAAACAAAAGCAUUAUUUGCUGUGUUUUCGACGACCAGACUUCGUUUGUGUGCCAAGCAAUUACAACUCCAAACUCUGUUAAAAUGAGUCUCGCCAAGUUCUUAUUCUUCCUCUUCGCUCUUGCUUUUGUUGCCGUCUUCGCCGAGGAGGCUGAGCACACCGCCCAAAAGAGACAGAUCUUCGCCUCCGUUGCCGGAGUUCCCGCUUACCACGCUGCUUACGCUGCGGCACCGGCUGUUGCCGUGCGAGCCGCCCCGGUCGUGCUCCCAUACGACGAUGGCAAGUACUUCCCCGGCAAAUACAUCGGAACCGGAUUCCCCUACGAGUCUGGCCCAGCCUUCUACUACUGAUCUUCUUCCUCGCAGAAGCCCUCCUCCCAUGCCGUGCGAUAAUACUCAAAGCCUCCAUUUAGCCCAAGUCGCCUGAAAUUAUACCAAAAAAAGUUUAUUCACAUUGUCUUAUUACAUUUUCCUCACUGUUAACGAAAUUAAAAUUCACUCUCAACCGGUAAUCAUGUCUUUAAUUUCACUCUGGUCUUAUCUGGGAAAGGAGGUGCAAAAAUCCACUCAAUGUAUCGGCGGAUCCAGCAAAUUGGCAACAUUGCCUUCUCUCCAUUUAAACCUAUGAAAAUAUAUCGAUUCUGGGAGGGGUCAGGUGCUCCGACAAGAAUCGAUUAUUUAACAUAGGUUUAAAUGGUGGGACUCCGGUGUUGCCAAAUUGCUGGAUCCGCCACUGACUCGAUGACACUAAUGCUGCCGUGCUAAGGAAAGAAGCCGUAUGAGCCUUCAGGCGUUGCCAAAUUUCCUCUGGAAAAUCACUAAUUUUCAAAAAUAUUUUUGUAUAUUUUUCCGCCAAUUUCUCAGAUAAUUUUGUUUGUGAUUUGAUGGAAUGUGUCUAAAAGUUUCAAGGAAAAAUAUUCAUAAUUUUUCUCUAAAAUAAACGUUUUAUCCGAGGGAAUUUGGCAACUCUCGAAUGUUCAUACGGCGUUCUUCCUUGGCACGGCAGAAUGACAGUCAACUGCAUUUUUAAUUUUUUUUAAAAAAAAAAACAGAAAAUUAAAAAAACCAUGCCUUUUCUGCAAACUUCCUGUGCAGUCCCUAAGAUCACGAAGGGUAUAUGUAUUCCCAAAAUUUAUUUUACAAUGUUGCUUGGUUUUCUGUUAAAAAAAACUCAAACUAUGUCUAAUGUGGUGAAACUGAUUUUGGUCGAACUUAAAUAAACCAUUACAUGCACUGU